rnacentral:lncRNA from 1 species
GGCUGGCCAUCCUCCCACCUCUUCACCAGACCGCGAUUCGUGGAUUCCACGCCUACCUGCCGAGUAUUCACCGUACGAAAGCAUUCUUCUGGGAUGAGGGUGGGGCAGCGGACAACACACGGUCCCUGGGGGCGACAGUGAGCAAACCAUACGCACACCGGGCAUCUGGAGGCGAUGGGCGGCAAGAGGGAAAAAGAAGGCAAGGUGUGAGGAGAGCCCUCUUGCAUGAGGGGACGGACAGGCAAAGACGUCAUGAAAUGAGGGAGGGAGCAUCCAUUUGUGUACUUGGGGGAAAGAACAUUUCAUCCAGGAGGACCAGCAAGUAGACAGCCAGAGAUGGGGCAAGCUGGGUACAUUCCAGGGGCAGCAAGGAGACCAGUGUGUCUGAAGCCGAGUGAGCAAGAGACAGCCUUACAGAGUGAAUGCAACCAGCGCAGACCCUCCGAGCCGCAGGUGAAGGGAGGGAGCCAGCCCUGCUCCCAGAAUUGCUCGCAGCCUACGCUACAACGUGCCGGAACCGAAAGGGAUCCCGAAGGUGAGAGAAGAGGAACAAGCAGUGUAAUAACAGAUGUCACCGGGCCUGCCACAGUCAGGGCCUGGUCGGGUCUGUGGGUGGGCCUGGCGGGGCUCAGAACCAACAGGAAUACGGUAAGGAAAUAAAGUCACGUUAAUAGUAGGUGGCCUGGUCAGGAUUCGAACCACUGCGACUCCAGUCCGUGCUCUUCCCCAUCAUCGUAAACCACCGCUGAGCCACUACCUACACCACCUCCUGCUCUUGGCGAAGCAGUAUUCACCCACAGGAAGCUCACAGGGCCCAGGUGGCAGGUGUCGUCCAGAGCUCACUGGGGUGCAGUGAAGUGGACUGAGCUGACAACGUUGGAGCUUCUGAAAACGUUCUAGGGGGAGACGCAGAAAAGAUCACAGGAAAAGUGAAUGAGGGGAGUCUGGAGAGGACCUGCCACCAGGAACAGAGGAUGGACGGACCUGCUGGGCAAGGCCACCCAAACCCAUGAUGACGAGGGUCACUCUACUUUAUGGAUUAGAAUUAGGACAGGGUUGGGCAUUCAAUUGUGACUCGGAGGGGUUAUUGGGGUCACCAUGAAGCUGGGUUUCUGGGAAGGAAUCACACCGGAAAGCUACAGACCUGCUGUCCAGGACCCACUGAGGACCCUCCCUGCAUGGCUGUAUCUUUUGGCUCCUUUGCGUCCAUCAGCCCUUGGCUCAAGGCGACUGGAGAGGUCAGGUAUGAAGAGCUCAGACUGGCCAGUGCACUACCCGGUUACGUUAUCUACUAGACGCCUGUCACUUCCAUCACAGGGCUUCUCUGUGCUCUUUCCAGAUGGCAAGUCACAGUCAGGGCCAGCCCAGAGCGGAAAGUCAGACAGACACGCAGACGGAGUCAAACCAGCUCUCAGAUCCCGGAGUCACUGAUAGAAACUAACACAGCAACAAGAACGUUAGCGCAUAUACGAGGACAGCCUUGGCCCCUUGGUGUCCGCACUGUGACAGAUUUUAACCUUUUGCUGGAUGAGUUUGGAAUUUUU